AUUGAACGCUGGCGGCAGGCCUAACACAUGCAAGUCGAGCGGAGCGGCGGACGGGUGGGUAAUGCCUAGGGAGCUGCCUGGGAGUGGGGGAUCACGUCCGGAAACGGGCGCUAAUACCGCAUACUAUCAGAGCAGCAUAGGUGGGAUUAGCUAGUUGGUGGGGUAAAGGCAUACCAAGGCGACGAUCCGUAACUGGUCUGAGAGGAUGAUCAGUCACACUGGAACUGAGACACGGUCCAGACUCCUACGGGAGGCAGCAGUGGGGAAUAUUGGACAAUGGGCGAAAGUCUGAUCCAGCCAUGCCGCGUGUGUGAAGAAGGUCUUCGGAUUGUAAAGCACUUUAAGUUGGGAGGCGUUACCAACAGAAUAAGCACCGGCUAACUUCGUGCCAGCCGCCGCGGUAAUAC
rnacentral:rRNA from 1 species